UACGUAGGGUCCGAGCGUUGUCCGGAAUUAUUGGGCGUAAAGGGCUCGUAGGCGGUUUGUCGCGUCGGGAGUGAAAACUCAGGGCUCAACCCUGAGCGUGCUUCCGAUACGGGCAGACUAGAGGUAUGCAGGGGAGAACGGAAUUCCUGGUGUAGCGGUGGAAUGCGUAGAUAUCGGGAGGAACACCAGUGGCGAAGGCGACUACCUGGCCUGUUCUUGACGCUGAGGCGCGAAAGCUAGGGGAGCAAACGGG
rnacentral:rRNA from 1 species